rfam:Ictidomys tridecemlineatus contig100982, whole genome shotgun sequence.
GGUGUUGUGGCUCAGUGGUAGAGCGCUUGCCAAGUCUGCAUGAAGCACUGGGUUUGAACCCCAGCACCACAU